rnacentral:tRNA from 1 species
GCAAUGUUGGGAGAAUUGGUGAAUCCGAUAGUUUGCUAAACUAUUGUGCUGUCAGGCACUGAAGGUUCGAGUCCUUCACAUUGCGCCA